UGGAGCCUACGGGAGGCAGCAGUGGGGGAUAUUGCACAAUGGGGGAAACCCUGAUGCAGCGACGCCGCGUGAGUGAAGAAGUAUUUCGGUAUGUAAAGCUCUAUCAGCAGGGAAGAAAAAAGACGGUACCUGACUAAGAAGCCCCGGCUAACUACGUGCCAGCAGCCGCGGUAAUACGUAGGGGGCAAGCGUUAUCCGGAUUUACUGGGUGUAAAGGGAGCGUAGACGGAGGAGCAAGUCUGAUGUGAAAAUCCGGGGCCCAACCCCGGAACUGCAUUGGAAACUGUUUAUCUAGAGUGUCGGCG
rnacentral:rRNA from 1 species